AGUGCGCAGGGAUAGAUAAGAGG
rnacentral:miRNA from 1 species